UGUAUCCAUCGACAUUAGCACCGUAUUUGUCUACAAAUUGGUAAACACCCUUUCCCUUGCCCUUCCUGCCAGAUGCAUCGAGUCCAUCCGUCAAGUCCAUGCCUCCAUUAAUUCCAAAAGGCUUGUUAGUCUUGAUCUUCUUACCACUGGCCUGAAUCCUCAAAGAGGAAGUUCUUGCUAGUGAGGGGAGGCCUCUCACAGCUGUCUUCUCAACAGUGAAUGGAGAAGGUUUUAGGCUCAAUGAACUCAUCACUACUGAGGCUGCCAUUACCCCUACCUUUCUUCUCUUCC
rnacentral:misc_RNA from 1 species